CCUACGGGAGGCAGCAGUGGGGAAUUUUUCGCAAUGGGCGCAAGCCUGACGAAGCAACGCCGCGUGGAGGAUGAAGGUCUUCGGAUUGUAAACCCCUUUCGGGAGGGAAGAUGGAGUGGGUAACCACUUGGACGGUACCUCCAGAAGCAGCCACGGCUAACUUCGUGCCAGCAGCCGCGGUAAU
rnacentral:rRNA from 1 species